rnacentral:rRNA from 1 species
AUACGUAGGGUGCGAGCGUUAAUCGGAAUUACUGGGCGUAAAGCGUGCGCAGGCGGUUUUGUAAGACAGUGGUGAAAUCCCCGGGCUCCACCUGGGAACUGCCAUUGUGACUGCAAGGCUGGAGUGCGGCAGAGGGGGAUGGAAUUCCGCGUGUAGCAGUGAAAUGCGUAGAUAUGCGGAGGAACACCGAUGGCGAAGGCAAUCCCCUGGGCCUGCACUGACGCUCAUGCACGAAAGCGUGGGGAGCAAACAGGAUUAGAUACCCUGGUAGUCCACGCCCUAAACGAUGUCAACUGGUUGUUGGGAAUUUAUUUUCUCAGUAACGAAGCUAACGCGUGAAGUUGACCGCCUGGGGAGUACGGCCGCAAGGUUAAAACUCAAAGGAAUUGACGGGG